GGCCUAACACAUGCAAGUCGAGCGAGAAAGCCCUUCGGGGUGAGUAGAGCGGCGGACGGGUGAGUAACGCGUAGGAAUCUACCUGGUAGUGGGGGACAACUUGGGGAAACUCAAGCUAAUACCGCAUACGCCCUGAGGGGGAAAGCGGGGGAUCUUCGGACCUCGCGCUAUUGGAUGAGCCUGCGUUGGAUUAGCUAGUUGGUGAGGUAAAGGCUCACCAAGGCGACGAUCCAUAGCUGGUCUGAGAGGAUGAUCAGCCACACUGGGACUGAGACACGGCCCAGACUCCUACGGGAGGCAGCAGUGGGGAAUAUUGCGCAAUGGGCGAAAGCCUGACGCAGCCAUGCCGCGUGUGUGAAGAAGGCCCUAGGGUUGUAAAGCACUUUCACUUGGGAAGAAAAGCUGCAGGUUAAUACCCUGUAGCCGUGACAUUACCUUGAGAAGAAGCACCGGCUAACUCCGUGCCAGCAGC
rnacentral:rRNA from 1 species